GCUAAUAUGAAUCAUCAGACUCAUUUGCGUUUUUGAGAUACUGGUUCAUGACAUUGCCUGCCACUCUCUCAGUCUCAUUGACCGAGGGCAGUUCUAGGCCCUGCCCAUUGAGCUCCCUGCGGGAUGUGCUAACUCUGUCUUCUGACUCUUGAGUUCCGUGAUGUGUUAUUGACCUGAAGUCUGUUUUAUGAUUAAGCCAAGCGCCCAUUAUUAAAAUCCACAAAUGGAGUCUAUUAUACAUGCCUACAAAGGCAAAGCUGACUUCCAAGACCGUUGGCCUAAACUGAAAUUUCAAGCAAAACCUGGUGCUGCAAAUACUGUUGUUUCUUGCUCCUUUCCUGAGGUUGAGAGGAGGGAAGAGAAAAAAACUGAAGAGGAACAGAAAAGCAAGGAGAAGACAGAGGAGGAUACAAGAAAGGUGAGCCACAAGAAAAUAGAAUAAUAGGGGCGCCUGGGUGGCACAGCGGUUAAGCGUCUGCCUUCAGCUCAGAGCG